ensembl:lncRNA
GAUGACACCUCCUAGGGAGACGGAGAGAGGUGGUAACCACACAUCACAGACACAGAGAGAGAUGAUGACACCUCCUAUGGAGACAGAGAGAGGUGGUAACCACACAGAGACACAGAGAGAGAGAGAUGACACCUCCUAGGGAGACAGAGAGAGGUGGUAACCAUACAGAGAGAGAUGACACCUCCUAUGGAGACAGAGAGGUGGUAACCACACAGAGACACAGAGAGAGAGAGAUGACACCUCCUAGGGAGACAGAGAGAGGUGGUAACCAUACAGAGAGAGAUGACACCUCCUAUGGAGACAGAGAGGUGGUAACCACACAGAGACACAGAGAGAUGACAUCUCCUAUGGAGACAGAGAGAGGUGGUAACCACUCAGAGAGAGAGAUGAUGACACCUCCUAGGGAGACAGAGAGAGGUGGUAACCACACAGAGAGAGAGAUGAUGACACCUCCUAGGGAGACAGAGAGAGGUGGUAACCACACAGAGAGAGAGAUGAUGACACCUCCUAGGGAGACAGAGAGGUGAUGACACCUCCUAGGGAGACAGAGAGAGGUGGUAACCACACAUCACAGACACAGAGAGAGAGAUGAUGACACCUCCUAGGGAGAGAGAGGUGGUAACCAUACAGAGAGAGAUGACACCUCCUAGGGAGACAGAGAGAGGUGGUAACCACACAUCACAGACACAGAGAGAGAUGAUGACACCUCCUAGGGAGAGAGAGGUGGUAACCAGACAUCAGAGACACAGAGAGAGAGAGAGAGAGAGAGAGAGAGAGAGAGAGAUGAUAACCACACAGAGACACAGAGAGAGAGAUGACACCUCCAAGGGAGACAGAGAGAGGUGGUAAACACACAUCAGAGACAGACGGAGGGCUCUGGAUGGAUAGGCAAAGGAUGGC